rnacentral:rRNA from 1 species
AAAACGACUCUCGACAACGGAUAUCUCGGCUCUCGCAUCGAUGAAGAACGYAGCUAAAUGCGAUACUUGGUGUGAAUUGCAGAAUCCCGUGAACCAUCGAGUCUUUGAACGCAAGUUGCGCCCGAAGCCGUCAGGCCGAGGGCACGUCUGCCUGGGCGUCACGCAUCGCGUCGCCCCCC